AAAGUUAAUGAUGAGGAGACUCGUAUUACAAAACUCCAUUCUGAGGAUAGAGAACAGUUCAGGAAAUCCAGCUUUAAUUGCAGGCAUUGUAGUUGGUGUGAUUCUGGCAAUAAUCUCCGUGGUACUUCUUAUAAAGAGAAAAUCCAUAUGUAAAAACAGAACUUCGGUAUUAUAAAACCCUCUUCAACAACUGGAGGAUCUGAACAGGGGAAACGAAAAAUGCAGCAAGACUUGAAUGUAUAUGUCAAACAGGACAUGGUGCUGAAUCCAUAAAUAUACCUUUUACUUGGGACUGAACGACAUUCGAUGCUGUUAACAUGUCUCAGGAACUGACGUUGU